GCGCAACCCUUGUCCUUAGUUUACCAGCACGUUAUGGUGGGCACUCUAAGGAGACUGCCGGUGACAACCGGAGGAAGGUGGGGAUGACGUCAAGUCAUCAUGGCCCUUACGGCCUGGGCUACACACGUGCUACAAUGGUCGGUACAAAGGGUUGCCAAGCCGCGAGGUGGAGCUAAUCCCAUAAAACCGAUCGUAGUCCGGAUCGCAGUCUGCAACUCGACUGCGUGAAGUCGGAAUCGCUAGUAAUCGUGAAUCAGAAUGUCACGGUGAAUACGUUCCCGGGCCUU
rnacentral:rRNA from 1 species